rnacentral:lncRNA from 1 species
CACUAGGAGAGCUGCUGAAACAUCUUCACAUUGCUUAAUAUCUUUAGUAAGCAAUAUCAUGGGAAAGGAUGAGGAUGAAUGUAGGUAGGGCCUCUUGUGUGAGAAUGAUGUGGAUGUGGACAAUGAGAGUAAGAAGAACAACAUCUCAGCCGCUUCGUUCAUCUAUAGCAUCACCAUUUAUAUGGGUGGCGAUUGGGUUGGA